GGGGUACUUCCUGUUGUAACCAAGCGCGAAUUAGCUUAUCGGCAAUAUAAAGACGGAGAAGGAUAAGGACGCGGAGAGAAAUCACCACAUAAAUAUGUAUUUUGCACCUAGCAGCCGCUUUGAAAGAGGCACAAGCUCUUACGGUGAAAUUUGAGGGUUUAAUGCCAAUAAACCUGAAAAAUCAUCGGUGUCAUCCUUCAAUCAAGGGGGUAUGCUACAUUGCUGAGGGCCAGUGGUGGUGGUGCUGGUGGUGGUAUAAACCUCUUUGCGUGUGCUGUGCUCCUCUGGGAAUUGGUUUACGUAACCAACAAUCAUGCACAGAUGACUGACCAACAAGUGUGUGUCACAUUUCGCCAGCUUUGCUUUCAAUGUCCUGGCAGCAGCUUCUUCAAAGGCCACUGGGUUGGACGCCACAGCAGACAGCAGCUCCUCUGCAGAUCCA
ensembl:lncRNA